rnacentral:lncRNA from 1 species
AUAAACAAUUAGAAAAUAUAAAUCUAAAAAUAAUAUAAUAUUAUAGUUGUAUCUAUGUAUGGCAAGUUUAUCUUAGUAUAAAAUAUAUGAAACGGGUACAUACUAUCUAAUAUAAUAUAAUAUUAUAGUAGGUGCUAAUAUGUUUGUCCGCGAAUUAACAAUUUUCAAAUUCUUAGUAUGUGCAUAACAAAAUUUAUAAUACAGUUACAUCCUAGUAUACACAUAAUAUUAUAAAAAUUAGCAAGGUUAAUGGAAAUACAAGGUAAUACCAAAACACGUGCAAGACUUUUACCAUGCUAUUUAAUAUUGACGUCAUAGACUAUGUUUGGUUGCGUGUUUGGUCAAAAUCACGCUCUUUCUUGCCCAGUUAUCGUUACGUUGGGACAAAAUAAAGGUUGACUUACAACUUCUUUUUGACUCACAAAACCUAUAUACCCUUGUAGGUACGACUUUGAAUUCCAUUACACAGGAGUCAGUAGAAGGAGGGAGGUGAGGAGUUGGAACUGCAUGGGUAGACAUUUCAUUCACGGUCAUUUAGGUUGUGUCUCGACGAGGUCGAUAGACACAAACGAUUUAUAACCAGGGAUCCAGGAACGACCGAAGAUAAAGAGACGUGGAGGAGUUAUACGAUUGACUACUUAUAAGGGACACAUAAUAAUUAUUAGUAAAUAUUAAAUACAUAUUACUCUGAUGACAAUAAGGAUCUCUAUUUAUAAGGAUUUAUAAGGACUAUUUAUACUAGAGAUCACACAUAGUACUUAACAUAUAUACACAGAUUAUAUGUUUAUGAUGAAUGAUGAUAUAAGAAAAGGAAGAGAAAGAAUAAGAGAGGUAAGAAGGAAGGAAAGAAGAUGUACUUACACUACAAUUUGGAUGGAUCUCUCCUGCGCAAAAAUCUGGGUCCGCAUUCAUCUAUCCUUCCCAUUCUUAGAAAUAUCUAAUUCAAAUGCCUUUGGAUACUCUCAAGAGAUUUUGACUCUCGAGGCGAGAUCCCUUGAACAAUGCUUCACUCGGUGGAUCUUGUCUCCUUUAAUGGAAGGAUCGUUGCUUGUGCAAGUGCCUCUUCAUGUCAAGAUCCUCUACGGAAUCAUCGUAUACUUCUACUUGUAAGAACUAAGGGGUUCCAUAAAACGAUAUAAAGACCCAGUGAGAUAGUUCUCAUCCUCCAUCCACAGGAAACUUUUUUGAAAUUCUUGAAAGUCAACUCUCUCCCCUACUCUAAAAAAACUAUUGCAUUAAUAAGAGUUCUUUGUAUAUAAUGCAGAAAUCACUAAUCGCAAUCAGAUUUAAAGCAAUUCUAUUUAUAAGUUGGACUUGUUCAUAUACGGUCUAGACGGAAUAUUAUAUAACCUGGACACUUCAAUCUCAUCCCUGAUUUCUUUAUUACUAAUGAGUCUCUUUUGUCAUUGGAAAACAAUUGCAAGAUGAUUAUAGAUAAAGAUAAUGUACUUCUCUUUUUUCGAUAUUUUGGUCUGGAAUGCUUAUUACAUAUAAGUAGUUAUUUGGAAAUGGAGAGUUCUAGAAAAAUAAAUAAUUACAUAAUGAACUACCCAGUUAGGAACGAAGAGUUAUUAUUUCUCAUCUACAGCUCCUUCGUUGAAACUCCUUCAGCCUGUUACUUCCAAAGUCGACUUUUUUACGUCUCUUAUUCUGAGAAAAAUAUUUCAUUGUUAAGAAUCCUUCAGUUCUCUUGAUGUAUAUAAGGUAGAAAUCCCUUGGAAAAAAGUACAAGUAGAUCUUUGACUCUUAAUGAAUAUGCAGCCUUUUGUCUAGAUACUUUGGUCUGCUAUGCAUAUUAUAUUUUCUGUUAUCUGCAUAAAUAGAUUUUGUGAAUUGUUGAGUGCUAAGUGAUUAUGUGAUAAAAAAUUAUAAGUGACCUCUUACCUUCUAUAGACUUAUAUUGGAAAACCUUAAUAUAAUUAUAAUUUCAAAACUUAGUUAGUCUUAAUCAUCUCUUAUAUAUCUUAAUUGCUUAUCACCAUAUUUGAAUAUUACCCCAUGAAGAUUUAGGAUCUCCACACAAAUAAGGAUUAUUAAUAAAUGUUUCCCAUAGUUCCUAUGCUUUAGUGUUAGUUAUUUUAAAAAACGUAUUAAUGACAUAGAUACAGACGUUCAAAAUUAAAAGGUAACUAUUCAUAUUUUGUCCUACUUUUCUUUAUUUUAUACAUAUACAUUGUGAAAAUGUAUUGUUAUUUUAAGAUCUGAAUUAAACACUUUUUAGAGUAAAUCCUUAAUUAAA